CUUCUGCGUCGCUCACGCUGGGAGCUGUAGACCGGAGCUGUUCCUAUUCGGCCAUCUUGGCUCCUCCUUAUUUGGCCUUUUCAAGCCUCCUGACUCCACCUUAUGACUCCUGACUCCACCUCGUGACUUCUCCAGGCCCCACCACUGGAGGGAGCAGCAGAGCUGAAGCGCUGUUCCUGCCUUCCAGAGCCGCCCUGCUUGCUUUUAGCAUGUGAAGAGGGCCAACAAGGCAGAAAUGAAUGGAUUUCCAAGCUCUGCCUCCUCUCCUACCUUUCCUCCUAUGCUCGCCAAGGUCCCAGCGUCUCCUACAGUUUGGGGUUUGUGUUCUCUCAUCUUUUCUUCCUUGUUGGAGUGAUUGAAAUAAAUAAGUUCAACCAAUAGGUGGAAACAAGUCAGCUUGAGUUUCACCAGAAAGCGUAGGAGGACCUAGGUAUCAAGAGAAGGUGAAAGAAUUCUUCAGAUGUGGAUGGAGUCUACGAACCGCAGACCCAGAAUUUCUAAGAAGAUAUGAAUGUGAGAUAAUGAAAGUUACUUCUUUUUCCUGAGCUCUUACACUGUGCUAAGCACAUAACAUCCUUAUUGCACUCAUAAGAGUUUGACACUCAUUAUUCUCCUCCUGCAGAUGAGGACGCCGAGGCGGGAGAAAUUAAGGGACUUGUCUAAGGUCACAGGCUUGUCUGCCUCCUGGGCUGGGGACUUUAAUCUCUACCUUAAGCUGCAGUUUAAAGAGAAAGAAAAAGAAAACAAACUUGAAGUUGAGCAAACAUGGGGCAGAGACAGCUCAAGGUUAUUUCUCUUCAUAUUUCAAUGAUAACCUCAGGUUGUGAUUUUUAGAAUUUUUCUCUUGUAUUUUCCUUUUAAAUUUGUUAUGGCUUUGUAGCCUUUAACUUUUGUUUGCAGUUAGUAUCCUUUGAACUUCAUUAUCUGUUUUCUCUAUGAUUUCUAAGAGAAAAAUCUGCAGAAAAAAAUAAUUACAGCUACCAUUUAUGGAUUACCUUUUGCAUGCUAGGCAAUUUACAGACAUCAUAGCGAAUCCUCUAACAACUCUCAGGAUUAGGUCUAUUAUUAUUCACUUCAACUUUACAAAAAGAGAGGCUGAGACUCAGAAAGUUUUCAUGGCUUGUCCAAGGACAUGCAGUUGGUAAGUGGCUAAGUGGAAGAUUCAAACCCUGGGCUCUUUCGCUCCAAAGCUCAUGUUCUUCCCCAUACUAUAAAACUGACUGUUUGUGUACCACGCUACCUCAAAAGGGUUUAUGGCUUGUUUUUGGUCAGACAAGGAAAAAAGAAAAGAAUCUCUGUGUGUUAGCCUUGGGAGGAGGAUGAGUGGGAGCUGUUUAACAGAGAGCACAGAACAAUGCCCAGGGCCCAUGGAAGACAGAGGAGAAUGGUGAGCUGUUGGCAGAGUAAGAAGCAUCCCCAGGAAUUUGUGUCAACAAACCCCUCACCCCGAAGUUGUUGCCUUCAGUAGUGUGACCCUUCAACCACUGAGUGGCAUCUGGAACUAAGAUGUGAUACCAGAUGGGUUAUUUUCCCUCUCUCUCUGACACAACUAGGCUGACAGAAGGUUUAGAAUAAAAUGUUGGAACCAUUUUGCGAGGUUUGAAGGGUGUGAGGAGUAGGGACAAGCUCAUUUCUGAAGAAGGGGAAGGUAAAUGAAAUCUCAUGUUUUCUUUGUCUUCAGGAGGUCUCCAGGAGGGGAUGAGUCACUGGAAAAUCUUUUGACAGAGCCUUUAAUGAAAAGUACUCAGGAACUUCUAAUGCUCCCUACCAGGUCUUCCCUUAUUAAGUCCCCUAAUGUGUGACCAGUGUGUAAAGCAAAGGGAUUUGCCCCAAGUUGACUCUCUGAUGUUGUAAAAUGGUCAGUAGUGUAAUAAUGGUGACCCUAUUAACAGACAAAGUGGCCCUUUUCCAUGUUGUCCCAAAGGAUUGUCAGGCCUGGCGCCAGCAAGAAUUGCUACUGAGGGAGGAAUCUUGCCUAGAACUUUUUUGAGACCUGCCACCAUCCAGUCUGCUCUUUGUUCCCCUUUGAGCCUGGCCUCAUUUGGCUGUUCUCCCUCUGGUAUGCCCCUAGCUAGCGUGCCAGCCAAGCUGUUGCCCUUCACACACCCCGCCCGCAGACCGAUAUGCUUGCUCCCUUUGCUUGGCUGCCAGGGAGAGGAUUUAUAUCAAGAUUGCUCAACUAGGAAAUGCCGAGUUCCAUACAAUUCCAAUGCUUGCUUUCUGUCACAUUUUUGUUAUUUCAUAGUCUUGACCUUUAACCUUUAUGUCGAGAAAUCCUUGUGGAUGAGUCUACCUUUGAAUGAUUUGUCUUGCAGCCUCAGGUUUAAUAUUCUGUGUCUCGAAUUAUUUUAGAUGCCUGGGCUAGUCUGCCUCUGCUCUCAUUGACCCGCUAUCAAUAAACACAGGGUUUGCUUAACAAUAAG
rnacentral:lncRNA from 10 species